CAGCAGCCGCGGUAAUACGUAGGGUGCGAGCGUUGCCCGGAUUUAUUGGGCGUAAAGGGCGCGUAGGCGGUCACGCACGUCCGUUGUGAAAUCGCUCGGCUCAACUGGGCGGGGUCAGCGGAUACGGCGUGGCUGGAGCAAGCUAGGGGGCAAUGGAAUUCCCGGUGUAGUGGUGGAAUGCGUAGAUAUCGGGAGGAACACCAGUGGCGAAGGCGGUUGCCUGGAGCUUUGCUGACGCUGAUGCGCGAAAGCGUGGGGAGCGAUCCGGAUUAGAUACCCGGGUAGUCCACGCCGUAAACGAUGCGGACUAGGUGUCGAGGGUAUCGACCCCCUCGGCGCCGCAGCUAACGCAUUAAGUCCGCCGCCUGGGGACUACGGCCGCAAGGCUAAAACUCAAAGGAAUUGACGG
rnacentral:rRNA from 1 species